rnacentral:rRNA from 1 species
AUACGUAGGUGGCAAGCGUUGUCCGGAAUUAUUGGGCGUAAAGCGCGUGUAGGCGGUUUGGUAAGUCGGUCGUGAAAAUGCGGUGCUUAACGCCGUAUGGCGAUUGAAACUGCUGAACUUGAGUGCAGGAGAGGAAAGGGGAACUCCCAGGGUAGCGGUGAAAUGCGUAGAUAUUGGGAAGAACACCGGUGGCGAAGACGCCUUUCUGGACUGUGUCUGACGCUCAGAUGCGAAAGCCAGGGUAGCGAACGGGAUUAGAUACCCCGGUAGUCCUGGCCGUAAACGAUGGGUACUAGGUGUGGGAGGUAUCGACUCCUUCCGUGCCGGAGUUAACGCAAUAAGUACCCCGCCUGGGGAGUACGGCCGCAAGGCUUAAACUCAAAGGAAUUGACGGGG